rnacentral:rRNA from 1 species
CCCCUAGAUGUUCUGGGCCGCACGCGCGCUACACUGAACAGUUCAACAAGUCUUAACCUUGGCCGAUAGGUCUGGGCAAUCUUUGAACGCUGGUCGUGAUGGGGAUAGACUUUUGCAAUUUUUGGUCUUCAACGAGGAAUUCCUAGUAAACGCAAGUCAUCAGCUUGCAUUGAUUACGUCCCUGCCCUUUGUACACACCGCCCGUCGCACCUACCGAUUGAAUGGUCCGGUGAAAUCUCGGGACGGCGGCUUGGUCGCUUGCGUCCGACUGCUGAAACUUGAUUAAACCAUAUCAUUUAGAGGAAGGUGAAGUCGUAACA